GCUGUAACCCAGUGGUAGAGCACCUGCUUUUCCUGCAGAAGGUCCCAGGUUCAAUCCCCAGCAUCUCCA